rfam:Botryotinia fuckeliana T4 unplaced genomic scaffold Contig_12897_V3__V4, whole genome shotgun sequence.
UCCGGCAUGGUGUAGUGGCUAGCAUUUCCGCCUCUCAUUCGAAGCUUUCAAGUUUCAAUCAAGUCGCGGGAGACCGGGGUUCAAUUCCCCGUACCGGAA